rnacentral:lncRNA from 1 species
AUAAAGGCUAAGCUUAAGCAAGCUGGAACUGGAACCACAAUUUAAACUGUACUGUAACCGUCCGUUUACUUCUGAGCUGACGCACGCGACAUCACGCGAGUACGCAAUCGCAUACACGCCAGUAAGUGGUAUGUAUACACGUAUUUCGCGCCCUUUUCGUUUUGAAAUGUGAACUGUGAGCCCGGUACUGGCUGCUAUCAAGCUCUUGUCUACUGAUUUUUCUAAUUAUUAUAGUAUAUUAGUAUAUUAAUUAAUCAGUACAUUAUUAUAUACUGAUUAUUUUCAUACAAAACGUCUAUUGACGGGUAACGUUGUUACUCAUCACUUAGUUUUAAUUUACUUUUUUUUUUUUUUUAAUCGGAACUUUGCAGUGGAACAAGGUCUUGUUGACAUAAAUCAGCAAUCUAACAUAAUCCAACCAGUACGGGGGUGGACGACAUGAAGGUGAGUUACAGUCUUUUUUCCGUUUAGCAGCGAUACGUCUGUGCCUAAUCUUUCUUUAACGUUACAUAUUUGUUUAGAAAAUGUUAAACAGUUGUUGAAUCAAAUCGACCUGAUAAUGGCGCAGCGAGGCCCAUACAAGAAGUAUCUUUUGGACGUGGAGGCCGAGAUGCCUGCAACUACCAAAAGGCGCAGGUUGCAGGCAAAAGAUGCCCAAACAAUACAUGGCGACAUAUGUUCUGAAAUGGAAUCUCAGGUUUGUGUGAUUUAA